GAAGUUUCUUGGUACCAAUAGCUCUUUCAUCUUAAAUUAACCAAUUUCUAUUAAUCUAUAUUUUGCCACAUGGCCAUGGCAUUGCCAGUCUGCUGGCAUCUUAAUACUUGGGUAGCUGGAUGGCAUCUGUUCUGACUCCACCUCUUCUUUUUAUAUCUCUUUUAAA